rnacentral:rRNA from 1 species
UACGGAGGGGGCUAGCGUUGUUCGGAAUUACUGGGCGUAAAGGGCUCGUAGGCGGCCAACUAAGUCAGACGUGAAAUCCCUCGGCUUAACCGGGGAACUGCAUCUGAUACUGGAUGGCUUGAGUUCGGGAGAGGGAUGCGGAAUUCCAGGUGUAGCGGUGAAAUGCGUAGAUAUCUGGAGGAACACCGGUGGCGAAGGCGGCAUCCUGGACCGACACUGACGCUGAGGAGCGAAAGCCAGGGGAGCAAACGGG